AAUUGGCUUUGAGCCUUUCCUGCGUAGCUUAUGUGGAAGGCGAAGAAGUCCCCUUCCGAGGAGAUUUGAGCCACUAGUGAGAUACUACUCUGAAAUAACUAGAAUCCUAACUUUGUGUCAGGACCUAGGGGCCAAGGACCUUU
rnacentral:rRNA from 1 species